AACCCAGAGAGCCAUACAGCUUUCUGGAAGGGGCUGAAGAGCCUGUGAGUGUUAAGAGCUUAGAGGCUGGCGAGUCCCGCAGCUGCUCAUACGCUGGUUUUGCAGAGCACAGGUAUACUGACUGCCUCCCGGCUGCUGAGGGAGUGGGGUCCCCUAACUUCAGAGCAGCCGGGGUGGCAGGGGAGGCUGAAGAGUCGGAUCACUUGGAUCCAGAGGACGCAGCGGGCCCUGCUCCCAAGGGUGGUGCAAAGACAGUUGAACGCAAACAGAAGAAGAAGGAGCAGAACAAGACCGCUGCUCACAGGUACCGUCUGCGCAAGAGGGAAGAGCUGGGCUGUCAGGAGGAGGAGCUCCGGGGAUUGGAAAGAAAGAACCAGGAGCUGAAAGACAAGGCUGAGUCCGUGGAGAGAGAGAUCCAGUAUGUGAAAGACCUGCUCAUCGAGGUGUACAAAGCACGCAGCCAGCGACUCAAACAAGGGAGCAGUGCGUGAGAGCCAGCCCAAACUAACACAGGAGGGGACGGUGAAACAGAACAGCUUACUUCCCGGAGGAGUCCUUGUGACAGCUGCCCGGUCUCAGAUACUGCCUGCCUAGAUACCUACCAGCCAAUUUAUAAGCAAAUUACAAUCAGUCCUUUUCUCGCUACUGUAACGGGUUUAGAUAGGGCUCAUGCCUGAGUAAGUGUAAUUGUUAUUUUUUAUAAUACCGUGUUCGUUUUUUAAAAUCUUAGCAAUAUACCGCACAAGCUGUUUCUUAAAAUGUUCUUGCUAGCGCUUGUGAAGUUGUAUGAGGUUUAAAGUUGCAGUGUCCCCUAUUUGAAAUAGUUUGGUUAAUGCAGGCUGACUAUAAGGUUUUUCUGCCACCAGGGGGUGCUGUUGCUGCUCCCAGAGCAGUGAACCUGGUGCUUCAUCCCCAGUUAAAAUAUAUGGACUUAAAAAGGCAUUAGUUUAAGACUAGUUAUUUCUUGUGUUCAAACUUGCUUCCAAAUGGAUGCCAAAGAGAAUCUUGACAUCCAAAACUCUGUUCUGUAUUCUAUCAUGAUUUAAAGAUUACAAUUCUGGGGAGCUGCAGCUUUAAUCAUUAGCAAGUAAAUGUUGACGGUUUUGUAAGCCUUUGAGGCACUUGUGUAUGCAUAUGUGUCAGACGUCAAGUAAAAUGUUGUGAUAGCUUUGUUUUUAAAGUAGUGAUAGCUCUGAUCGUGUAUGAGGCUGGACAAUGUGCUGCUUAUCAAUUUAAACAUUUAAUAAAGUUUUGAUGACAAGUG